UACAGAGGUCUCAAGCGUUGUUCGGAUUCAUUGGGCGUAAAGGGGUGUGUAGGUGGCGCCGUAAGUCGGGUGUGAAAUUUCGGAGCUUAACUCCGAAACUGCAUUCGAUACUGCGGUGCUUGAGGACUGGAGAGGAGACUGGAAUUCAUGGUGUAGCAGUGAAAUGCGUAGAGAUCAUGAGGAAGACCAGUGGCGAAGGCGGGUCUCUGGGCCACUACUGACGCUGAGAAGCGAAAGCAUGGGGAGCGAACAGG
rnacentral:rRNA from 1 species